rnacentral:rRNA from 1 species
CAGCCGCCGCGGGAAUACGAACCGUGCGAACGUUAUUCGGAAUUACUGGGCUUAAAGCGCGUGUAGGCGGGCCGCCACGUCGGUUGCUGAAAUCCCCCGGCUCAACCCGGGAAGUGGCAUCGAUACGAGCGGCCUUGAGGGGGGUAGGGGGAUCUGGAACUUCCGGCGGAGCGGUGAAAUGCGUUGAGAUCGGAAGGAACGCCCGUGGCGAAAGCGAGGUCCUGGACCCUUUCUGACGCUGAGACGCGAAAGCCAGGGGAGCGAACGGGAUUAGAUACCCCUGUAGUCCCUGUCUCUUAUU